UGUAGACACACCUUCAUUUCAGUGAUCUCCACCCCAAACGAAUGGCUGGCUGGGACAUGUGUUGCCUUAUGUUCAAGGAGAGAAAAAUCAGUAGAGACGGCUGGAUACGCUUGCAUCGCUGGCCUUGGACAAUCAUGCAGUCAUGCAGCCUCAAUUUUGUGGAAGUCUCUCUUUUUCUCAUCCUCCUGGUCCUUGUACCCGCUCACCUGACCACCCUGCGUGUCCCUGACCCUGCCUGCCGUCCUGUGCCUUGGUCACUACUCUGGAUUACCGACCUC